AAAAGGUUUAAUCAACGAACUAUUUCUCAAAUUCCCCCUUAUUUUUCAUGUUGUUGGGGGCGUCGUCUCGCCUUUUUUACAGUCUCCGGGCGAGCUCUGAGAUGGAGUUCAGACGGUCGGGCUUCGUGGAUUACUCUGCGAUUGGUGUUUGGUCUUCGCCUGUCGGUGUGGAGUUGGUUCUUUUGAUUUUAAGCUGCCCUUUUGACUUUGUCGUUGAUGAUUGGGGCGGUGGGAGGUUCGUCUCCUCUCAAAAUCGCAGCAGUGUCAAUUGAAGCUUCCUGGUUGUGUAAUACCCCGUUCUUUUCUUACUAAAUUUAUAAUUAUUUUAAGUUUAGAUUAAGAUGAUUUACGUCGAAAAAAUGAAAAUUUAUUUAUUUUAAUUUCAACAAUUUUUUUUUCUUUUAAGUCCAACAUAUGAUUUGCGAAAAUCUUUUGUAACAUUUUAUUUAUUUAAAUUCUAAUGCAUUGCAUAUUUAUUUAAAAAUUUGUAAUUAACAUUUACAUGAACCAAUUUGAAAGAUUUUAAUUGUCCUAUUAUCAACAUAUUUUUCACAACUAUGCAGCCCCAUACCUAAUUAGCCUUUCUUUCAACACUUAAAAUCACCACCCACUUCUCUGCAAGGGCCAUGACCAUUGCAGAGCACACAGCCAAGUCUUCCACUUCACAUUUCACAUUUCACAAUUCAUCAACUUAUCAACUUCUCCCUCGCAAGAAGGCUCAAGCGAGUACAAAACUUAUCAGUUCAAG
rnacentral:lncRNA from 1 species